UACGGAGGGGGCAAGCGUUAUUCGGAAUUAUUGGGCGUAAAGGGCGCGUAGGCGGCUUGACAAGUCAAAGGUGAAAUCCCUCGGCUCAACUGAGGAACUGCCUUUGAAACUGUCUGGCUUGAGGCCGGGAGGGGGUAGCGGAAUUCCCAGUGUAGCGGUGAAAUGCGUAGAGAUCGGGAGGAACACCAGUGGCGAAGGCGGCCAUCUGGAUCAACACUGACGCUGAGGCACGAAAGCGUGGGGAGCAAACAGG
rnacentral:rRNA from 1 species